GCGACGUUCAGCCUAUGCCCCCACAAGAUUACAUCCGUUGGGAAGUUGAAGCUCUGCCAUUUGACUCUGCCGAUUGCGUCCACUAGAACCAGAUUCCCCGUCUCCAUAAUCACUAGCUUCUAGCAAAGUAAACCAGAUAAGUUAGUGAUCAGUGUGCUUUUCCUCAGGUUAUGUGUUUAGAAGUGAUUGCAAUUAGCGGUAAUUAGGCUUCAGGAAUUAGGGCUAAGUAAUGUUACCUCCACACCUUGUGCAGAAGUGCCAGAGCGCCACCCGAGUCGUCGGCCAUUUUCAUCCUUGAGCUGCAAUUCACCGUCUUGAGCGAGCUCAAUCACGCAUUGGUCCGUGGUGAAGAACGGGGAGUAAUGUCCAGAG
rnacentral:lncRNA from 1 species